UCGAUUUGCUACUGUACCCGCGAGGGUUGGUGAGUACACGGUGGAGACCGCUGGCGCUAAGUCAGAGGAAGGAGUGGUCGACGGUAGGUCAGUAUGCCCCGAAUAUCCCGGGCUACACGCGGGCUACAAUGGACUGGACAAUGGGUAACGACUCCGAAAGGUGAGGUCAAUCUCUUAAACCAGUUCUUAUUCCGGAUUGAGGGCUGUAACUCGCCCUCAUGAAGAUGGAAUCCGUAGUAAUCGCAUUUCAAAACAGUGCGGUGAAUACUUCCCUGCUCCUUGCACAAAA
rnacentral:rRNA from 1 species